UUCGUCCGGGCACACCGAGAGAGCAAGCGUGAGAGAGAGUUUCAAGGAGCAUCUAUCACUUCUAUUGUUCUUCCCUCUUGUUGCCGGUGUGGUACUCUGUCUUUCUGUUGCUGCUGCCUUGAAUCUAUCUCUGGUUUGUUGUUUUUUUCUUGUCCCUGUCUCUGGUUUGCGUGUUCUUCUCCUCCCCUGUUUCACGAUGCUUUUUGGUCUCUAUUCGGGUGGCUGUUGUGGACACGUGAGGAUCUCUUCCUUCCUCCUCCUUCUUAUGAUGUUUGGAAGAAGGAAAGCUCGAUUGGAGUCAUAAGAAAUGAGUUUUGAGCCUUGAGGAUAUUACAGGUUCUAGCUCUGGUAUGAAAAGGAAAAAAGCUCUAGAGGCUUAGGAAUCUAUGAUUCCUACUAUAAAGCCUCUUACCUAGAUUCAUUUUGUGUAAUAGAUAAUAUAUUGCCAAUUAGGAUGCAUUUUAUUUACACUUGCACUAUAUUGUUAAUGAAUUGGAGAUGUAUUUUGGGCUUAGGAAUGUUUUAUGUAAAUUGUUAAAAAAUCAAUAAGGCCAAAAUACUAGUACAAGUGUAGAAACUAUUAUCAUAUUGUUGAAUUUGAUAAUGAUUGAAUCAUGCAGUGCUACAACC